rnacentral:rRNA from 1 species
ACGUAGGUGGCAAGCGUUGUCCGGAAUUAUUGGGCGUAAAGAGCAUGUAGGCGGGCUUUUAAGUCUGACGUGAAAAUGCAGGGCUUAACCCCGUAUGGCGUUGGAUACUGGAAGUCUUGAGUGCAGGAGAGGAAAGGGGAAUUCCCAGUGUAGCGGUGAAAUGCGUAGAUAUUGGGAGGAACACCAGUGGCGAAGGCGCCUUUCUGGACUGUGUCUGACGCUGAGAUGCGAAAGCCAGGGUAGCAAACGG